rnacentral:rRNA from 1 species
UUAUGCCUACGGGGCGCAGCAGUGGGGGAUAUUGCACAAUGGGGGCAACCCUGAUGCAGCGACGCCGCGUGAGCGAUGGAGUACUUCGGUAUGUAAAGCUCUGUCAGCAGGGAAGAGAAUGACGGUACCUGACCAAGAAGCCCCGGCUAAAUACGUGCCAGCAGCCGCGGUAAUACGUAUGGGGCAAGCGUUAUCCGGAAUUACUGGGUGUAAAGGGAGCGUAGACGGCUGUGCAAGUCUGGAGUGAAGGGCGGGUGCCCAACCCCCGGACUGCUCUGGAAACUGU